rnacentral:rRNA from 1 species
CAUGCAGUCGAGCGCCCCGCAAGGGGAGCGGCAGACGGGUGAGUAACGCGUGGGAAUCUACCCAUCACUACGGAACAACUCCGGGAAACUGGAGCUAAUACCGUAUACGUCCUUCGGGAGAAAGAUUUAUCGGUGAUGGAUGAGCCCGCGUUGGAUUAGCUAGUUGGUGGGGUAAUGGCCUACCAAGGCGACGAUCCAUAGCUGGUCUGAGAGGAUGAUCAGCCACACUGGGACUGAGACACGGCCCAGACUCCUACGGGAGGCAGCAGUGGGGAAUAUUGGACAAUGGGCGCAAGCCUGAUCCAGCCAUGCCGCGUGAGUGAUGAAGGCCCUAGGGUUGUAAAGCUCUUUCAACGGUGAAGAUAAUGACGGUAACCGUAGAAGAAGCCCCGGCUAACUUCGUGCCAGCAGCC